CGUGGAGACAGGUGGUGCAUGGCUGUCGUCAGCUCGUGUCGUGAGAUGUUGGGUUAAGUCCCGCAACGAGCGCAACCCUCACCUCUUGUUGCCAUCAGGUCAUGCUGGGCACUCUAGAGGAACUGCCCCGGUCAACGGGGAGGAAGGCGGGGAUGACGUCAAGUCAUCAUGCCCCUUACGUCCUGGGCUACACACGUGCUACAAUGGCCGGUACAAAGGGAUGCCACACCGCGAGGUAGAGCUAAACCCAAAAAGCCGGUCUAAGUUCAGAUUGGAGUCUGCAACUCGACUCCAUGAAGGAGGAAUCGCUAGUAAUCGCGUAUCAGCACGACGCGGUGAAUACGUUCCCGGGCCUUGUACACAUCGCCCGUCACACCACGAAAGCCUGCUGUACUCGAAGUCGCUGAG
rnacentral:rRNA from 1 species